UACGUAGGGGGCAAGCGUUAUCCGGAUUUACUGGGUGUAAAGGGAGCGUAGUCGGCGAAGCAAGUCUCAAGUGAAAGCUCGGGGCUCAACCCCGGAACUGCUUUGGAAACUGUUUUGCUGGAGUGCAGGAGAGGUAAGCGGAAUUCCUAGUGUAGCGGUGAAAUGCGUAGAUAUUAGGAGGAACACCAGAGGCGAAGGCGGCUUACUGGACUGUAACUGACGUUGAGGCUCGAAGGCGUGGGGAGCAAAC
rnacentral:rRNA from 1 species